rnacentral:rRNA from 1 species
UCAAUAGUCUUUUAAUUGAAGGCCAGAAUGAAUGGUUGAACGAGAGAGAAACUGUCUCUGUAUUAAAUAAAUUGAAAUUUACUUUUAAGUGAAAAGGCUUAAAUACAUUUAAGGGACGAUAAGACCCUAUAAAUCUUUAUAUUAAUUAAUUAGAUAUUUUAUACAUAUUUUAAAUAAAUAAAAUAAAUAAUAAACAAUAUUUUGUUGGGGAGAUAUAAAUAUAAUAAAUAACUAUUCUACUUUUAUUACAAUAAUAAUUGAUUAUCCAUCAAAAAGAUCCUUUAUAUAAGACUUUAAGAUUAAGUUACUUUAGGGAUAACAGCGUUAUCUUUUUUGAGAGUCCUCAUCAAAAAAAAAAUUGCGACCUCGAUGUUGAAUUAAAAUAUCUUUAUGGUGCAGAAGCUAUAUAAGAAAGUCUGUUCGACUUUUAAAAUUUUACGUGAUC